UACAGAGGAGCCAAGCGUUGUCCGGAUUGACUGGGCGUAAAGCGCACGCAGGCGGACGCGCGCGUGGGGUGUGAAAUCUGGCCGCUUAACGGCCAGGCGCCAUCCCAUACGGCGCGUCUGGAGCAAUGCAGAGGUCGGUGGAAUUCCCGGUGUAGCGGUGAAAUGCGCAGAUAUCGGGAAGAACACCUAUGGCGAAGGCAGCUCUCUGGGACGGUACUGACGCUGAGACGCGAAAGCGUGGGGAGCGAACAGG
rnacentral:rRNA from 1 species